rnacentral:lncRNA from 1 species
UUACUCAAUUACAAUUAUGAUUUCCGAGACAAUGAAAAAUGGAAUUUUCUUUUGGUUAAACAGUUAUAGUAAAUUUGUCGAAAGGAUCGAAGAGAAUCUAAAAGCAAGACGAUAAAGAUGAUAUCGAACGACCACACCUUGUCAGGAUUCAAGUGAUUUUACCUUUCCAUGUAUUUACGUGUACACAUAUGUAUAUAUACAUAUAUACCCCAUGAAUAUUAAUUCAAGGUUCUCUACACACAGAAAAAAGGAACGCAUAAAGUAUACGAAUUCUUUCGAGAAUA